GAUGAACGCUGGCGGCGUGCCUAAUACAUGCAAGUCGAGCGAACAGACGAGGAGCUUGCUCCUCUGACGUUAGCGGCGGACGGGUGAGUAACACGUGGAUAACCUACCUAUAAGACUGGGAUAACUUCGGGAAACCGGAGCUAAUACCGGAUAAUAUAUUGAACCGCAUGGUUCAAUAGUGAAAGACGGUUUUGCUGUCACUUAUAGAUGGAUCCGCGCCGCAUUAGCUAGUUGGUAAGGUAACGGCUUACCAAGGCAACGAUGCGUAGCCGACCUGAGAGGGUGAUCGGCCACACUGGAACUGAGACACGGUCCAGACUCCUACGGGAGGCAGCAGUAGGGAAUCUUCCGCAAUGGGCGAAAGCCUGACGGAGCAACGCCGCGUGAGUGAUGGAGGUCUUCGGAUCGUAAAACUCUGUUAUUAGGGAAGAACAAAUGUGUAAGUAACUAUGCACGUCUUGACGGUACCUAAUCAGAAAGCCACGGCUAACUACGUG
rnacentral:rRNA from 1 species